rnacentral:lncRNA from 1 species
UUUUAUUCUGUAAUUACAACUAGGCACUUGUAUUAUUCCAACUACAUAGGCCCUUUGUGCAUGCACAGAAGUGAAACAGAUUUCCAAGCUGAAUUUUGUUUUUUUUUAAAUGAUACUCUGAGAUUUCAUUAAUUUUGCUUGUGUUGUGCAAAGUUUAUAAACAGGCACAAUAGAAAGAAGCUUAAUGUGAUGAGAAAUAUAUCGUAGACUAUGGGGAUUAAGUCUGAGGAGAUUAUAGGGCCAGCUAUUCUGUUCCCAAAAUAAAAACUCAGUGCCAUGGGUGUUUGUAUAGACUCAUCAUGUUGUUCCAAUUAAACCUCAAUUGCUGUUCCCUCUGGCUGCUCUUGCUAUCCAUGGUUCUGGUCAGCACAGGUGUUUGGCAGUAAAAGAUGUCAAUGAAUUGAAAUUGUUGCUAAUAUUCAAAUUACCUGUUUUCAUUUCAGCUUCUGACAACCCCCAGGAACAAAAUGAAUGCCUGCUUGCCAGCUGGAGGGCGAGCAUCCAAAAAGGAAAAAGUGCUCCUUUUCAGCUCCUACAAGGGUAUUGUGAUCAACAGAAGUAAAGAAAUGUAAUCCCAUUGCUUGGUACGGUUUUCUGAAGGAAGCAAGAGCUGUGGAGGCUGUGGAAAUCUGAAUGGUUUUCCAUGAUGUAUGUUUUGCAAGGAGAAGUGGGAGAGAUUGGGGCACAAAGUCUUUUGGUUUCCCAUCUAUCUAAAGCAUCUUGUAUUGCAGAUUCUAAUGGGAACUGAACACAUGGCUCUACCCUAAUGACCAGCCUGCUCUCAGUAGGAGUGGGAGAUCAGGUGAGAUCUCACCUUUGGCCAUUACCAAUUGCUUCAAGGAGAACUUCAAUGUUAUAAAGCAAUGACUGCAGCCAAGAUGAUGAGGCUGUUGAUGUCAACCGAGCAGAUGCUCUAGAAAUUGUUUGCUGGACAGUCCCAGAUGGGUUGGCACCAUCUUCAUCAGGAAAGAAACAUUCCACUACAGAACACUUUCAAGGAAGAUUUUCCCUUCUGAGAAGAACUGUGAGCCCCAUAAAUUGGUCAGACCCUACCUGUAGGGAGUUGUGCUGUCUCCCUGGGGCUCAGGCCAGUACUAUGAGACAUGAAUGCAGUGAAAUUGUCAGGUCACAGCCUGAACCAAUAGUUGAGCACCAGGUGAGAAGGUGUAGGUAACAUGGGGAGCUCAGGUGCAAGUAAUUCACCUGAGAGACGAGAAGGUGGGAAGCCUGGAUCCAUCCCUCCUCAUGCCUCAUCUAAGGGUUAACAGCUGAGGUAGUGGUGUUUCUCUGGGCAGAGGUUGCACUCUUCUUGCGCUGUCACUGGUUGCUGGCAGAGGGUGAGUUAAUUUUCUUUCUUUUUUUACCUGCUAAUGCUCCAUGGUGUUUGAAUCCCAUUAGAAGACACUGCUGUUGCCUUCUUUUGCUGUAUGCGUGAGCCAGCAGUGUGCUCUUGCAGCCCAGAAGGCCAUGAUAUUGUUCUAUACAGAAGUAAUGAAGGCAAACCUGCAGAGAGCAGUGAGAAGCUUUUUAUGGUUGCAGUGUAGGAAAAAAGACAGAAUUAGCAGUACAGUUUUCCAGGUUUUGUGAUGG